CCUACGGGAGGCAGCAGUGAGGAAUAUUGGUCAAUGGGCGAGAGCCUGAACCAGCCAAGUCGCGUGAAGGAUGAAGGACCUAUGGUUUGUAAACUUCUUUUAUAUGGGAAUAAAGUGAGGAACGUGUUCCUGUUUGUAUGUACCUUAUGAAUAAGCAUCGGCUAACUCCGUGCCAGCAGCCGCGGUAAUACGGAGGAUGCGAGCGUUAUCCGGAUUUAUUGGGUUUAAAGGGUGCGUAGGUGGUUAAUUAAGUCAGUGGUGAAAGUUUGUGGCUCAACCAUAAAAUUGCCGUUGAAACUGGUAGACUUGAGUGUAUGUGAGGUAGGCGGAAUGCGUGGUGUAGCGGUGAAAUGCAUAGAUAUCACGCAGAACUCCGAUUGCGAAGGCAGCUUACUAGACUGUAACUGACGCUGAAGCACGAAAGCGUGGGGAUCAAACAGGAUUAGAUACCCUUGUAGUC
rnacentral:rRNA from 1 species